AACAAGGUUUCCGUAGGUGAACCUGCGGAAGGAUCAUUACUGAACUAGUAAUUCAUGAAAGGUCGCCGGUACCUGGCCCCCCUCAAAGGGGCCGGGGAAGGUCCUCUCACACCCCUUGUGUACCUUACCACGUUGCUUUGGCGGGCCGACCCGGUUUCGACCCGGGCGGCCGGUGCCCCCAGCCCUUCCGGGGGCCAGGACGCCAGGCUAAGCGCCCGCCAGCAUACCAAACUCCAGCGAUUAUUUCGUGUCGUUCUGAUGAAUUAUUCAAUUAAUUAAAACUUUCAACAACGGAUCUCUUGGUUCUGGCAUCGAUGAAGAACGCAGCGAAAUGCGAUAAGUAAUGUGAAUUGCAGAAUUCAGUGAAUCAUCGAAUCUUUGAACGCACAUUGCGCCCUCUGGUAUUCCGGAGGGCAUGCCUGUUCGAGCGUCAUUUCAACCCUCAAGCUCUGCUUGGUAUUGGGCGACGUCCGCUGCCGGACGCGCCUCGAAGACCUCGGCGACGGCGUCUCAGCCUCGAGCGUAGUAGUAAAAUUCUCGCUUUGGAGCGCUGGACGUCGGCCGCCGGACAACCGACCUUUGGUCUAAACACUUCAAGG
rnacentral:rRNA from 1 species